rnacentral:rRNA from 1 species
UACGUAGGGGGCAAGCGUUAUCCGGAAUCAUUGGGCGUAAAGAGCGUGUAGGCGGCCAGAAAAGUCCGCUGUGAAAACUCGAGGCUCAACUUCGAGCUGUCGGUGGAAACUUUCUGGCUAGAGUCCGGAAGAAGAGAAUGGAAUUCCUGGUGUAGCGGUGAAAUGCGCAGAUAUCAGGAGGAACACCGGUGGCGAAGGCGGAUCUCUGGGCCGUAACUGACGCUGAGGAGCGAAAGCAUGGGUAGCGAACAGG